CCACCACACGUGGCUAAUUUUUUAUUUACUUUCUUUUUUUUGUACAGAUGUGUCUUGCCAUCUUGCUCAGGCUGGUCUUGAACUCCUGGGCUCAAGCCGUCUUCCUGUUUCAACCUCUAAAGUGCUGGGAUUACAGGUAAAGCUCACAGGAUAAUGUUCUGUCUGCCCCUAUUGCCAGUGACUCAGUGGUAAAGCCUGAUUCAGAGGUGAGCUAUUAGACCAUUUAUCCUGAAUCUAAAGUUAAAUUCCUCAAUCAGCCUUACCAGAAAUAAAACGUGACAUUUCUGUGCCCUUUGAUCUGUCUGACUCGUGCAUAUUUUCUCUCCCCAUUGGUUCUUGACUUAGAAGGAGACGGUUCCUGACUUACUGGUUUUCCUAAAACUCACUCAUAUCUGUGGAAGGCAGAAUUAAUGGCCCCCAAAGAUGGGCAGUAUUUAUAUCCUAAUCCCCUGAUGUUUACAUCCUAAUCCCCUGAACCUGUGAAUAUGGUACUUUAUGUGGAAAAGGAAACUUUGCAGACGUGACUAAGAUUAAGAAUUUUGAGAUGGGGAGAUUACCCUUGAUUAUCUUUGAUUACCCCAAUCUACUCAUAGGAAUCUUUAAAAGCUGAGAGUCUUUCCUAGCUAAGUCAAACAGAGAUGCAACAAUAAACAAAUGAUCAGAGAGAUGUAGCAGGGGGAGGAUUCAACCAACCAUUGCCGGCUUGGAAGAUGGAGGAAGGGAGCCACAAACUAAGGAAUUGGGUGGCCUCUGGAUGCAGAGAACAUUCCCUUAGCCAAUAGU
rnacentral:lncRNA from 1 species